UGAAUACGAGACGCUAAGGCGUCGAAGUAGUGUAUGUCAUACUUCCAAGAAAAGCUUGCACUGUCAUAAAUAGAAAAUGCCUGUACCAUAACCGACACAGGUGGGUAGGUAGAGUAUACUAAGGGGCGCGAGAUAACUCUCUCUAAGGAACUCGGAGAAAUGACUCCGUAACUUCGGGAGAAGGAGUGCCUUAUUUUUAAGGUUGCAAUAACAAGAUCCAAGCAACUGUUUAUCAAAAACACAGGUCUCCGCUAAGUCGUAAGACGAUGUAUGGGGGCUGACGCCUGCCCAGUGCCAGAAGGUUAAAGAAGUUGGUUAGCAUUAGCGAAGCUGAUAACUGAAGCCCUGGUGAACGGCGGCCGUAACUAUAACGGUCCUAAGGUAGCGAAAUUCCUUGUCGGGUAAGUUCCGACCCGCACGAAAGGCGUAAUGAUUUGGAUACUGUCUCGGAGAGGGGCUCGGUGAAAUAGACUUGUCUGUGAAGAUGCGGACUACCUGCACCUGGACAGAAAGACCCUAUGAAGCUUUACUGUAACUUGAAAUUGAAAUUGGACUUUAGUCGCGCAGCAUAGGUGGGAGGCGUUGAUGAUGUUCUUGCGGGAACAUUGGAGCUAUCAGUGAGAUACCACUCUUCUAAUGUUAGAUUUCUAACUUUGAACCAUUAUCUGGUCAGAGAACAGUUUCAGGCGGGCAGUUUGACUGGGGCGGUCGCCUCCCAAAUGGUAACGGAGGCGUACAAAGGUUUCCUCUGAACGGAUAGAAAUCGUAUCUAGAGUGUAAAGGCAUAAGGAAGCUUGACUGUGAGACCUACAAGUCGAGCAGGGACGAAAGUCGGUCUUAGUGAUCUGACGGUACUGAGUGGAAAGGCCGUCACUCAACGGAUAAAAGUUACUCUAAGGAUAACAGGCUGAUCUCCCCCAAGAGUUCACAUCGACGGGGAGGUUUGGCACCUCGAUGUCGGCUCAUCGCAUCCUGGGGCGGUAGUACGUCCCAAGGGUUGGGCUGUACGCCCAUAAAGGCGGUACGCGAGCUGGGUUCAGAACAUCGUGAGACAGUUCGGUCCAUAUCCGGUGUAGGCGUUAGAAUAUUGAGAGGAGCCUUCUCUAGUACGAGAGGACCGAGAAGGACAUACCUCUGGUGUACCAGUUAUCGUGCCAACGGUAAACGCUGGGUAGCUAUGUAUGGAGUGGAUAACCGCUGAAAGCAUCUAAGUGGGAAGCCCACCUCAAGAUGAGUAUUCUCAUCG
rnacentral:rRNA from 1 species